rnacentral:rRNA from 1 species
UACGUAGGGAGCAAGCGUUGUCCGGAAUCAUUGGGCGUAAAGCGCGCGUAGGUGGCCCGGUAAGUCCGCUCUGAAAGUCACAGGCUCAACCUGUGAAAGCGGGUGGAUACUGCCGGGCUAGAGUCCGGAAGAGGCGAGUGGAAUUCCUGGUGUAGCGGUGAAAUGCGCAGAUAUCAGGAGGAACACCGGUGGCGAAGGCGGGUCUCUGGGCAACAACUGACGCUGAGGAGCGAAAGCGUGGGGAGCGAACAGG